rnacentral:tRNA from 1 species
UAUGUGGCGCAGUGGCAUCGCUCCCGGCUGUGGUCCCGGAGACGUGGGUUCAAUCCCGA